CGGACACGGAAAGGAUUGACAGGUUGAUAGCUCUUUCUCAAUUCUGUGGGUGGUGGUGCAUGGCCGUUCUUAGUUGGUGGAGCGAUUUGUCUGGUUAAUUCUGAUAAUGAACGAGACUCUGGCAUGCUAACUAGUUAUACGCAAAUAAAUCUGUUAGUCUCUAAGGUGCCACAAGUACUCCUUUUCUUUUUGCGGAUACAGACUAACACGGCUGCUACUCUGAAAC
rnacentral:ncRNA from 1 species